rnacentral:misc_RNA from 1 species
AACCUUAUGGACCUGCGGGCGUAUACCUGCGGAAGGAUCAUUACAGAGUUGCAAAACUCCCUAAACCAUUGUGAACCUACCUUCUACCGUUGCUUCGGCGGGCGGGCCUAGCGCCCCCCCGGCCCCCCGCGGGCGCCCGCCGGAGGAUAACCAAACUCUUGACAUCAGUGGCCUCUCUGAGUAUUCUUUACUGAAUAAGUCAAAACUUUUAACAACGGAUCUCAGAUCGGAAGAGCACAC